UACGUAGGGUCCGAGCGUUGUCCGGAAUUAUUGGGCGUAAAGGGCUCGUAGGCGGUCUGUCGCGUCUGCUGUGAAAACUCGGGGCUUAACCCCGGGCCUGCAGUGGGUACGGGCAGACUAGAGUGCGGUAGGGGAGACUGGAAUUCCUGGUGUAGCGGUGAAAUGCGCAGAUAUCAGGAGGAACACCGAUGGCGAAGGCAGGUCUCUGGGCCACUACUGACGCUGAGAAGCGAAAGCAUGGGGAGCGAACAGG
rnacentral:rRNA from 1 species